CAGUUUCAAGUGAAAUGAGAAAGGGUACGAUCCUGCCUGCGAUUUUCCUCUGCUUGGUCUUUCCAGCACAAAACCACGCCGCUUUGACCACGAAAGCUGUGCAACUUCAAAAAUGUACUUCAGGAGACUGCUCCAUUCACGAUUCAAAAAUCAAGAAUUUCCUUACUUUUGCUUUGGCAGAGGAUUUUUCAUCAGUGUUUGACGCAA